rnacentral:sRNA from 1 species
UUGUAUAUUAUAUGUUCUUUUGCUGAGUAAUGUGGACUAUAUUUUCUGAUAUAUUCGUUUACCUUACAGACUUAACUGAUGAUACUGUAUAUGCAACUUUUUCUUUUUGAGUUAAGUUGCAAAUUAGUCACUUUUUAAAACUUAAUUGGAAAAGUAGUCACUUUAUUAUUUAUAAUUUGCAAAAUAGUCAUUUUUCAUUGUUUGAUUCGUACACUUAGAUUGUACACCACUUUUAGUGUACAGAUAUAUAUAAAAAAUACACAGCGUACACUUUACAUUUGUACACUAAAAGUGAUGUACAAUCCAACUGUACGAAUCAAACUGUGAAAAGUGACUACUUUACAAAUUAUGAAUAGUAAAGUGACUAUUUUCCUAAUUAAGUUUGAAAAAGUGACUAGUUUGCCAACACACCCUUUUUUUUUAAUUUACCCCAAGAUACAUGUAGAGGAAUAAACCAAAAAUGAAGUUUUCCCUAUCAUAUAUCAUGGUGCAUGAAAAAUGUUAAACAACUUCUUGUAGCAUAAACCAGCAACAGAAACAAUCAACAAAUUGUGGAAGCAUUGCCAUAAAAAGUUAUCUAAUAAGAUAAGACUUCCUUGCACUGCAACAAUCUUUGGUUGUGGAUCCCAAUUACACUCACAUAUACACCAUCAUCCCCUUCUUGUCCUUGAGUCCAUUUGAGAUACACAUUGUUACUAAUGUUGUC